GCGCCCGUAGCUCAAGUGGCAGAGCGGUGGGACGGUACCCCACGGUCCCGGGUUCAAGUCCCGGCGGUCGCU